GACGGCAUAGCUUAAUUGGUGAAAGCUCCUGCUUUGCAAGCAGGCUAUUGAUAGUUCGAGUCCAUCUGCUGUCA
rnacentral:tRNA from 1 species